rnacentral:rRNA from 1 species
GGGGACCCGCACAAGCAGUGGAGUAUGUGGUUUAAUUCGAAGCAACGCGAAGAACCUUACCAGGUCUUGACAUCCCUCUGACCGGUCUAGAGAUAGACCUUUCCUUCGGGACAGAGGAGACAGGUGGUGCAUGGUUGUCGUCAGCUCGUGUCGUGAGAUGUUGGGUUAAGUCCCGCAACGAGCGCAACCCUUAUGCUUAGUUGCCAGCAGGUCAAGCUGGGCACUCUAAGCAGACUGCCGGUGACAAACCGGAGGAAGGUGGGGAUGACGUCAAAUCAUCAUGCCCCUUAUGACCUGGGCUACACACGUACUACAAUGGCCGGUACAACGGGAAGCGAAGGAGCGAUCUGGAGCCAAUCCUAGAAAAGCCGGUCUCAGUUCGGAUUGUAGGCUGCAACUCGCCUACAUGAAGUCGGAAUUGCUAGUAAUCGCGGAUCAGCAUGCCGCGGUGAAUACGUUCCCGGGUCUUGUACACACCGCCCGUCACACCACGAGAGUUUACAACACCCGAAGUCGGUGAGGUAACCGCAAGGAGCCAGCCGCCGAAGGUGGGGUAGAUGAUUGGGGUGAAGUCGUAACAAGGUAGCCGUAUCGGAAGGUGCGGCUGGAUCACCUCCUUUCUAUGGAGA